rnacentral:rRNA from 1 species
UAGGGAAUCUUCGGCAAUGGACGAAAGCCUGACCGAGCAACGCCGCGUGAGUGAAGAAGGUUUUCGGAUCGUAAAACUCUGUUGUUAGAGAAGAACAAGGACGUUAGUAACUGAACGUCCCCUGACGGUAUCUAACCAGAAAGCCACGGCUAACUACGUGCCAGCAGCCGCGGUAAUACGUAGGUGGCAAGCGUUGUCCGGAUUUAUUGGGCGUAAAGCGAGCGCAGGCGGUUUCUUAAGUCUGAUGGGAAAGCCCCCGGCUCAACCGGGGAGGGUCAUUGGAAACGGGGAGACUUGAGUGCAGAAGAGGAUAGUGGAAUUCCAUGUGUAGCGGUGAAAUGCGUAGAUAUAUGGAGGAACACCAGUGGCGAAGGCGGCUCUCUGGUCUGUAACUGACGCUGAGGCUCGAAAGCGUGGGGAGCAAACAGG